UCUGACACUUGAGCAACUGGUACAAGAGC
rnacentral:piRNA from 1 species